UUCUAUUCCAGGUACUCUCUUGAGUUGAAUGAAGAGCAAACUGGCAGACGUGGUAGCUUAUGCCUGUAAUUCCAGCCCUUUUGGGAGGCCAAGGUCUAAUGUGUUCUGCAUGAACUUCUGGAGCCAGAAGCGUCAUAUACACAUUCCGGCCAGAAACUUGAAAAUGGGUCUAGAGGAUGACUGGUUGCCAUCUGCAAGAAAAGUCAUUCAUGGGAGAUGUGCCAUUAUGUUUGAAAACACAAGAAAAGGUGUUGAUGGAGAAAGAUGGAAGCUGCUUAUGGGAGACAAGACAGACCCAGUGGAAGUUUAGUCAUGAAUAAGAUAAAGAAGAUUCUGUGGAGGAAUUCUCUCAAAACAAAACACAAAUUGUAAUGCAUCUACAGUUAGACUGCUACGAACUUUGACUCAAUGGAGUGAAAGCUUAAGGCUUUGCUCUCUAUCUGUGCUGCUUUCAAAGAAUGUGAACAGUGGACCAUUUUUGCAAGUAGAAGUUGUUUAACCAUGAGAUGAAUGCCCCAUGACUUCAAAUGAUAGAUAGUAAACAUUUUUCUUUUGUGUUUCGAAUCUAAUUUCUUUCAACACUUAUUACCUUAGUGGAUCAAUCCAUUUUCACACUGCUAUAAAGAAUAUCCAAGGCUGGCUAAUUUAUAAAGAAAAGAGAUUCAAUUGACUCACAGUUCCACAUUGCUUGGGAGGCCUUAGGAAACUUAUAGUAGAAGGGGAAGCAGGCACAUCUUACAUGGCAGCAGGUGAGAGAGAGAGUGGAUGAGUAUGGAGGAGGGACUGUUAAACACUUAAAAAACCAUCAGAUCUGAUGAGAACUCACUAUCAUGCGAACAGCAUGGAGGAAACUGCCGCAUGAUCCAAUCACCUCCCUCCUUUGACGUGGGAAUUACGGGUUCUUCCCUUGACACCUGGGGAUUGCAAUUUGAGAUGAGAUUUGGGUGGAGACACAGAGCCAAAUUAUAUCGUUUCGAUAAAGGUAAUAAUCAAAAUUUUAAGUGUAUACAAUUGCAAUAUAAAGUCUUAAAAAUACUUGAAUUCAGAAAUGUCAAGGAAAAUAACGGAGAAUUGAGAUACUUCUACACUGUCAACCAGCUUUCCCCAUUCCUACUUCUUCCUUAAUGUCUUGGGAAUCUGCAGCUUUGACCUGAUUCUAAUCCCUGAUUAAUUAUAAAAGGCACCAUGAAGUGGAAAAACACACACAUUAAAUAUAAUCUCAGAUAAUAAGAUGAUGCUUUGACUUCAAGCUCGGAAAUGUUAUAAUAGGAGAAAAUGUGAGUUUCAGAAUAGAAAGCAUUAUAUUAAGUGGAUGAUGAUGGCCACUAUUGGGAGGUAAUUAUCAAUUGAUUAAAGGCAGGUCAGCUAGAGACAGUUUGGCACAAUGUAUACAGAAGCGUUUCUGUAUCAGCUAGAGCUUAAGAUCCAGGGAAAUCCUUUUUCUGGGAAGGGAGAGAAUGGCGGUGGGAGUGAAAGAAGAAUCUGCAGAAUCUGAAAGUGAACUCAGAGGCUUAGAAAAUGGAUCUUCAAGCAUAACCCGG
rnacentral:lncRNA from 1 species